GUCAGCUCAGGGGUAGUGCAUCAGCUUUGCAUGCCAAAGGCCCCAGGUUCAAUCCCUGGCACA
rnacentral:tRNA from 1 species